GUUUUUUUUUCCCCCAUCGCGUUCUCCCUCUCGCCAGUUCUCCAUCCCGCCGACCGCAGGGGGACGGGCGGCGGCGGCGGCGGCUUCCGCGGUCGUCACCCCCGAUCCGAUUUGAAAGGCAACUAAGGUGGCUCCUUCUCUCCCUCGCCAUUUGUGCUCAGCGCGCCGAGGCAAGUCGUGACCGAUUUCGGCGGCGGCCACCGGCGGCAUCCCCCAUCCGACUUCUGCGACAGUGGAGGCGGCGGCCACCUCACCUCUCCCUGAUCCCUCAUCGUCUUCUCUUUCGGCGGCGCAUUUCCAUGAGGCCGACCGGAGCGAGGGCGGCAGCACAUCAAAGCUUAGGUGUUCCACGACAGCGGCGGCAUCCAGGAGUGUGGUAACAGCUGCCGCCCCAUAAUGGAUAGCAAUGGUGAAGUUGGACAUGAGGAAUUGGACUUUCAUCUUGAGGCCACUGAAGAUUUCAGUUCAGAAGAUGAUAACACGCCGUCGAAUCGGAAUCCAUCAUCAGAGGAUUAGAGCUGAUUGGAUGUUAUGGGAACAUCAGCUUGCUUUUAUUUAGAACUGAGGUCCAGGGCCUCGUUUCAGCCUUCAUUACCCGCGGUGCAUAAUUAUCCUAGUCCAGGCAGCGGUUUUCUGUCUGUUGGACACGCUGGUGGGAAAGUUGUACUAUACAAGCUGCACCACUAUCAAAAUGCCUGAGCCUUGAAAGUGUUUUGGAAAAUCCAGUUUUGACAGUUUCUAGUUUUUGAGAAUUCACGUGCUAUCUGUACGCCGAUUCCGGUUUAGUCACGUAUUGUUGUGUUGUACUGUCACAAGUGAUAGUGCUUAUCGCAAUCUGGCAAUAUGCAAUUGUGUUUCGGUAAUGAUUGUUAA